rnacentral:lncRNA from 1 species
AGAAGAAGAAGAAGAAGAAGAAGAAGAAGAAGAAGAAGAGGAAGAAGAAGAAGACGGGCGGCGAGGGGCGCCGCUGGGUCGCCGCUCACUGGCGAUUGGCUCUGGUCUGGGCGAUGACGGGCGGCGAGGGGCGCCGCUCACCUGUCGUCGGAGCUCGGAGGCGGAGCGACUGGGCGAGGGUCGCGGUGGGACUGGGAGCGAGCUUCCCACUGGCGACGGCCGAGGAGAACGGCGGGCGGGCGAGGGGCGCCGCUGGGUCGCCGGAGACUGGAACGAUUUCUGCCUUUCUGGAGUGGGGGGCGGCC